AUUGAACGCUGGCGGAAUGCUUUACACAUGCAAGUCGAACGGCAGCACGGGGGCAACCCUGGUGGCGAGUGGCGAACGGGUGAGUAAUACAUCGGAACAUGCCCAGUCGUGGGGGAUAACGUAGCGAAAGUUACGCUAAUACCGCAUACGAUCCAAGGAUGAAAGCGGGGGACCGCAAGGCCUCGCGCGAUUGGAGUGGCCGAUGUCAGAUUAGGUAGUUGGUGGGGUAAAGGCUCACCAAGCCGACGAUCUGUAGCUGGUCUGAGAGGACGACCAGCCACACUGGAACUGAGACACGGUCCAGACUCCUACGGGAGGCAGCAGUGGGGAAUUUUGGACAAUGGGCGCAAGCCUGAUCCAGCCAUUCCGCGUGCAGGAUGAAGGCCUUCGGGUUGUAAACUGCUUUUGUACGGAACGAAACGGCCUGCUCUAAUACAGCGGGCUAAUGACGGUACCGUAAGAAUAAGCACCGGCUAACUACGUGCCAGCCGCCGCCGUAA
rnacentral:rRNA from 1 species